ensembl:lncRNA
GUAAAUCUGCACUGCCAGGCUCGUGCUACCCAUGUUCCAGGAAUAGGAGGUGGCUACCAAGCACAGGGCUUUUGUGCAGCACAUGCGAAAUAAAAGGAGAGCUCUGCAAACAUGCAACGAGCCAACAUUAGUUUCAGUCACAGAGGAUAAGGAGCACUCACCAAUCUGUGAGCAGGCUGGGCGGGUGACAUGCACCACUUGAAGAACAGAAGGAAAACAACCUUCAAGCAUCUUCAUUUCAUCUUGGGAACCAAGCCCCCUAAGCUGAACUCCUGUAAAGAGACCUUCUGACAUCACUGCAACUCUUUCUGAGAGGAGGAAUCAGCCACAAGGAAGCUAGAACUGAACAUACUUUCUGGUAGCACUGGGUUUGCAUUUAUACAUUUGGGGUUCACAAUGAAGACUGGAAAGUACACAUGGUUACACAAAAACAGAAUAAAGGUGUGAUGAGGACAAGUUGAAAGCAGCAGAAGAGACUACAGGUGAAUAAGCAAAGGUCAGUAAUACAAGAAAUGAGAUUGUAUUGUUCUGAUAGCCAAAAGAGGGGUUAUGUCACUGACAUGAAGGUUGUAGAUCAGAAAAUGAAAUUCCAUUUGCGUUUCCCAAUAGGAAGGACUAAAUGAUAACGGAUAUGACUUUCUGUCCAGGAGAUGGGACUCCUAAAUGUAGGAGAUCAUCAGGUGCCUAUCAGACCCUCUGUUUUUGUCAUUAUGCAAUCAAACUAUGCUAUGUGUGUUUUGAUAACUUUGAAGUAACCUUCAGGUUGUUCAAGGUGAAACUAAAAGUAAUUAAUUCUGCUUUUAUACAUUUCUUGUGUUGUUAUUAUAUCAUUGAGCCUGUUACCGAGGCUUUUGAAAGCAAUCUGGAAGUGGACAAUGAGUUCUGGUGUUCUCUGAGGAAAAGUUCCAGAGAAGGACGGAAUAGUCUGAUGUCACCAACUUGAAAAGCACAUGAAGAAAUAUAAUAUUGGAAGAACCACAGGAAAUAUUUGCUAAAGACAAGAAUUGAUUGAGAAGAUGAACAAAUAUUUUCAAAAUAUCUGUAAUAUAUACAGAUAUAGAUCUUGUCCAAACAGGAACAUGACAGAAGAGGACAGGAUGAUAAAAAUAGUCUGAAUUCGUUUUCCAACAGCUUUAGAGAUGAAGAUUUUUGCAGUAAGUUCUUAGAAAAAAAUAUUUACGUCAAACUUCACAUUUAUAGAUCACACAUCUUUGCCCACUAACUGGAAACUCAAGUAAUUUAAUUGUAUGUAUAUAUUCAUAUACAGACACAGAUAUGUUAAUACCUGUACCUGCAUAAAUAUGUGAAUAUAUGUAUAUGUACACAAUUAUUUGUCAUUUUGGAAGAAAAAUCACUAGAUUUUUGCAGACAUCAGAGAAAGUCGUUAACAACCUUGAUUUUUGACACCAAUGAAAGACCCCCACAAAAUUUGCUUCAGCUGGGCUUUGAGCCCAUAAAGAAUGAUUUUAAAUAUGGCAAAGUACUUAAAUUUAAGAGCUAAUUUGAGAAUCUUGAAAUGUAUGAUAUUAAUAGUUCAUGAUUCCAUGUGAAUGCAUUUUUUUUCUUUUUCAUGUUGGAUGACAAACUGAAAAUCUGAAAAGAAUCUGUUCUGAGCAAACUGAUAUUAAGAUCUUCCAUGACUUUUUAAAAAAUUUGAAAUUCAACCUCAAACCUAACCACACAAAUUACUGUAAUUAUAACAUUAUUUUGUUAUGUUUGAAUAGACACUCAAAUUGCUGUAUAAAUAACAUGAAAUCCUCAUCUGAGUAAUUUUUGAUGAAACAUUUCAGUAUGUGACCAGUUCCUUUACCCUCAGAUGUACAGCCUCCUUUUUAUGUACUUGUUAUACCAUCUUUUUUUUAAUCCAAGUCAUCCAUUUUGAAUUAAUAUAAUGUGUUCAUCACUCAAAACAACAAAAGUAUUAAAAACUCCCUGCUUUUUCAAUUGAGAUUUCAGAGAAUCAUAGAAUCAUAGAAUGGCUCAAUUUGGAACGGGCCUAAAAGCCCACCCCAUCCCAAUCCCCUGCCAUAGACAGGGUCACCACUCAUUAGAUCAGGCUGGCCAGGACUGCAUCCAACCUGGCUUUGAAAUGAUUUGGAUGUACUUUUGAAUAAGGAAUAAGGCAAUAGUGUUCAUCAAAUUUAAAGAGAAAGUAAAAAGAUAGAUGUUCGGGGGACAAGAAUAAUAAUCAAUUAGCAUUAGCAGUGUAGGUUAGAUGGUAGCAACACCACCUGAACAAACAGAUUAUAGUGUACCUAUAUUAUUGGAUUUAGUUUUUACAAAUAGUUUCUUCCUUUCCUAAGCUUUUCUGUCUUCUGAUAGCUCACUUUGGCCAUUGGCUGGUGGAUUUUGAAAUAGUCUCUCUGACAAAAAGAAUGGUGAAAUUCUGGCAAAAUUAGUAUUACUGUGUGUCUCCAAAGUGCUGACAUAAUAGUGCAUUAUAACUUCUUUCUUUAACAUGUCAAAGGAAUCUGAAAUUGUUAGGAUAUAUUUUUUUAAUGUUUUAAAGACCUGACACAUUUUUGGCCCCAUCAGAGCAUUCAUAAAAUCUCAAUCAGAACACUUCUUUGUUGCCAUAUUGUUUGGUUAACCUUGAAUGAAUCUAUUUACUGAAUGCUUUGAGUGCUUACUGAUUAUGGGGAAAAUUGUCAGCUAUACCAUGGAAAAAUUAAUUGAAUUUGGAGUGAGCAGCAGAACAAGAAUCUGUGGGACAAACAGUACAUUUCUUUGUAUUUAUUUUCAAACAUUACAUUCUGUCUAAGUUCUUGGAAGAACUUUACAUCAAAACUGUGAUCUAUGACAGAUUCACGUGAAGGAAAGUUAGUGGUGAAAUACUGAGCUCAGUGCUAACAAAAGCUCUUAAUAACCAUAAUGUGAUGUGAAUCCAUCAGGACACUGAUAGUCAUAGCACUUUUUAGUGCACAACUCUGUUAUCUUUGUAAUAACAUUCAGUAGCUUCCUUGUCAAUCUGGAUAAGUUUGAAGGGGAUAGAGUUUAAACUAUGUUUGAUCUAUUUCCUCCCUCUAUAACAAGGCUUUUUUUUUUUUUUAAAUUUAAAAAUAUGAAUAUCAAAUAGGUUUUAGUAGUAAAUCUCUGUCAAAAUAGAAGGAGGUCUUCAACUGUAAGGAGCUGUCUUUUGGAAUCCUAACUGGAGACCAAGACUUGCAGUGUACACCAUACUGACAAGAGAAUUUACGUUUGCAGAUUCUAAGUUUCUAUUCCAUCCAGAUUUCUCUUAUGAUUUCUAGUCUUGGGAAGAAACUCUCAGAAUUUUUCUUCUUAACACAUAUUGAUCUUAUCCUCACUCCUGUGAGCAAAUCAGGGUAAGAUCUCUUCAGGGAAAAAUGAGGAUAUCAUCAGUGAGUCUGGCAUACAGGUUUUUCAUUAUAUUUGUUGAAUAUUUCAAAUAUUUAUAUAUGUUUUCAAAGAGUUACAGAAUUGUAGGGUUUGGAAUGGAUGUCUCGAGAUCAUUGAGUCCCACCCCAAAUUUUAAUUGCUCUUGUAUCAAAAUUUUGCUGCCAACUCCUUUCCAUGGAAAAUUUACGUUACUCUGUACUGGAAUUCUAACUUGAAAUUAGAAUUUCAUGUCACAGCAGAAGCCUAUGGGUAACUAUUACUUUUUAACAUAUUAACAUUCAAAUUGUGCAUUUUCUAAAUUAGCUGAAUGUUUCUGUAUUUUUUCUAAGAACACAAUUUUACAUGGCUGCAAUUGAAAACCACAGUUUUGUGGGUACGUCUCAAAAAGCACUUUUAGAAAUAUUUAUUAAAAGAGGUUAACAAACUGAUUUUUGGAACUUUUAUUUUCAGAACUUUAAUUUCUAGAAUGUUUUGUCUGCAGUGAACCAACAGGACUGACCUGACAUGACUUCACUGAGUUAGCAUAUAAGGAUAACAAAAGAUAGAACUGAGCACUUCCUCUUCUUUGGAUAUCACACUUAAAGAGUCCUAACGGUCUUCAUCAUCCUCUCCUUUUAUUUCAACUGUGAAGGAAAUCAGUAUUAUACUCAAGAGGAAGGUGAAGUUACAGUGUAUUUUGUCUCCAUGCAGAUAAAUGUUCCUAUCUCAUGUCUCUAAUUCUUCUAAAUGAAUGUUUGAGGGUUUUCAGCGGCAUCUUCUGCCAGGAUUUGGCAGAAGUUGUUGCAGAGCAGCUGGCUCAAGAAUCACUCUGGAUAAAACAAGUGAUAUGAUCCUGGCUAGAGGAGAUCUGGUAUAUCUGCCACUGCCUGAUGUUUGAUACUUGUGGAUAUUCAGGGCUUUCGUCUGCGUUUUUCUUGGAUGAUCAGUUUUCAGCAGUUGCCAGGAUUACCUUCCCUCAUGUGCAUGAGGUGAGGAGAUUAUCAUUUUAUUUCUGAAGGACACUUUGUCACUUUAAGGCUUUCCCACCUGCACAGUGUCCUACUUUAAACUACUUCCUAUAUUCAUUUGGAAACAACACACAUAUAAGAGUUCUCAUCAGUGUGGAAGAUAGGUAAAGUAGAUGUUCCAAGGCAAAAUGUAGUGGUUUCACAGUUUCCGAAUGCUGGUUGUAAUAUUUAUGGUAUAAAUAUCUUGAGGCGUCUUCCUUUGAGAAAUAAACUCUCAGCAACAAAUUAUCAAUUUGCUGCUCGAUUCAGUGGUUUUCUGCCUCUAUCAAUAUGGAAAGUUUUACAACACUUCUUUUUUCUUUGACUCAAAGUACAAUUUUUUUUAAUCCCUUAUUACCAUCUUUUUAUGAUUUUUACUAUUUUUCUCCUUUUUCUUGAUCAUUUUCCCAACUUGCAUAAAUUGAAGUUAUUUUUUUUUCCUUGUAAUUUCAACAUUUACUUAUAUCUUAGGGAAUAAGAAGAAUUUGUGUUAAUUAACACCAACCAGGUAACAGGCGCUCCCUUACAGCUGUAAUGCAAGUGGUUUAAAACUGUGAUGUUAAAAUUGCAUGGACAACUAAAUGGAAGGCUUUUUCAGUACAAUAGAGGUAUUUGAAAUAAGUUUUUUCCUUGCUGAAUCAUUAGUUUUAU